rnacentral:rRNA from 1 species
AUGGAGUUUUCCUCCGCGGAUAUCUUUCAGCACUCGCCCCUGGGCGACUUGCUAAAUUCAUUAAGGUCUCUCUCCUUGUCAGGAGACCCUUGGCCGAACUAUGUCCGGCUUGAGUGGGAAGCGGACGACGAAGAAAUUCGUUCCCCACCCACCACCCACUUGAUAGCCACUGUCGACGACUUAACCGAGAUGCUUGAUUUCGGCUCCGAAGACAUCGACGGUAUGGACGACGAUGCAGGAGACGACCAGGAACCACCGCCCACAGGGCGGUGGACUGCCACCUCAUCAUAUGAUAUAUACAUGGUGGACACCCCCAAGGAAAGCGAUGGCAAUAAGGCACCGGAGGAUAAUCCCCCUGAGAAGCAAUCGAAGCACCGGCGUCAUCGGAGCCGCUCUAAGCCCCACCAUAGCAAAAGCAGUGAUACCGGCACAAGAGAUAAUAAUGCUUCAGAUAGUGCCGAAGACGAAGACAAUCCCCUCCAGCCAGGCUUCGAGCGGGAGGAUGGGCAAGCUAGCCCUAAGGAACAGGCAGCAGACGGAGAAUCACAAGAUGACAAUUACAUGCCCCUCUUCGAAGACAAGGUGAGCCUCGGCGACGAAGAACUUUUCAUGCCUGAGGAUCUCGUCGAAAAGGAGCGCUGGCUUAUAGCCAUAGCAAAAAGCCUAAAGAAAAAGCAACAACAACUUCGAGCUGACCAAGAUCUGCUAGCGGAUAGAUGGACUGAGGUCCUGACGGCCGAGGAAUACGAACUCGAGCGCCCAACCAAGAGUUACCCAAAGCGCAGGCUGCUACCCUAA